GUAGGUGGCAAGCGUUGUCCGGAAUUAUUGGGCGUAAAGCGCGCGCAGGCGGUCCUUUAAGUCUGAUGUGAAAGCCCACGGCUCAACCGUGGAGGGUCAUUGGAAACUGGGGGACUUGAGUACAGAAGAGGAAAGCGGAAUUCCACGUGUAGCGGUGAAAUGCGUAGAGAUGUGGAGGAACACCAGUGGCGAAGGCGGCUUUCUGGUCUGUAACUGACGCUGAGGCGCGAAAGCGUGGGGAGCAAACAGGAUUAGAUACCCUGGUAGUCCACGCCGUAAACGAUGAGUGCUAAGUGUUAGGGGGUUUCCCGCCCCCUUAGUGCUGCAGCUAACGCAUUAAGCACUCCGCCUGGGGAGUACGGCCCGCAAGGCUG
rnacentral:rRNA from 1 species